CAUGACCCAGGAUAUCUGCUUGAGUACAUUUCUUAGCAGCAAAGCACACAUGAAGUAGUGUGGCUGUUUCUAACAGCCUAUGAUAAGACAUGGGAGUAAAGGAAUAACUUAAAGUGAGAACUUAUAUUUAAAAGGGAAGCAGAGCAUAAAAGUUUGGAAAAUUUGCACCCUUGUCAUGUGAUAGAGAAGGAAAGAGCAUUUCCAGGCAAGGAACACAAACAGGCUCUGAAGCAAGCACUUGCUAGAUACGUUAGCAUGACUCAAUGGGAGCCAAGCGCUAAUAUUUAUGACAAUGAGAAAAAGGCCUUGAAGGCAUUUCAGAGAUGUGAUUGGCCCCAUCACAGGCCCAGGGGCCUAAGAGGAAAGAAUGGUUUCAGGGACUAGGUUCUGAGUCAUCCUUGGGAUGGUCAUCCUUGGGAUUCUGCUCCCAGCAUGCAGACUACUGUUCCAGCCAUGGCUCAAAGGGUUCCAGGUACAGCUGGGGAUACCACUCCUGAGAGCACAAACUGCCCUGAGCUUGAUGUAGAAGACUAUCAUAUGAACCAGAGAGGGUAACUGAACCCAAAUAAAUGACUCCAAUAUCAAGCUAACGACACGCCUUAAAGGAUGAGGAGGAGCAGAAAUCCCACCAGCAAGGCAAGAAAGAAGCUGCGCAUGAACAGUGUCUGUGAGACCAGAUAGGAUUCCUGCUUUACUGACAAGUAAACGAAGGCUCAACAAAGUGAAAUCUGAGAGAAUUCUAAUAAUUGUGAAACAUUUCCUUUGGUGAAAGUUGGUUCCACAUUUUGCCUCUGCUUUAGGCCCCGAAGGAAAAGAAGUUACAGGAGCCAAUCAGUCUUACACUCUUCCAUGAUCAUAGGCAAGAGGUCCCUGGAUCUAAAGAAAUGAGUCAGAGCACUAGAGCAAAAUGAGUCCUGCAACGGGAAUGGAAUGCCUGGAUUUGGAAGAGCCAGCGUAAGGAAGCGUCACAGUUGGGAAGCAUCCUGGCCGUGCCAUGGUAAAGGGAAGCUGGCAGCCUGGGCUGAUGGAGAUUGUAUCUGGUGCUGGAGAAGAUUGGCUCCCACAGUCAGUGAGAAGGGAGUUUUACUCACCCAGCACCCAGAUGAACUUUGGUGAAGAGAGGCGGUGGAGAGGUCAAGGAGCCUUGCUUUUUCACUUGCAAUUAUGGCACUUCCUUUGGAAAUGGUAAGACUAUAUUUUUAGACUUACACUAUUAACUUAAAAUCCUAACAGGUCAGGAAGAUGGCUUUGUGCACAUUAAGGCAUGAAAAAGAUUUAUUUUUCCUAUCAUUUUUCUUCCUCAAAUAGUCAUUAGGUAGGAAUUCUUGCUUUUUGUUAACACCUGUGAGAAUAUUAACAUACCAGAAAACAUUUGUUGAUUGCGUGUUACGAUAUGGUGGCACUGAAGUAGAUAUUUUAAAGGUUAAAAAUAUGUUAACAGUGGCUUUUUAUUCAUUCAACUAAGCAAUAUUUACUUGAAUGCAUAUCAUGCAUCAGGCUUCUGCUAGGUACUGGAGAUUUUUAAAAAUAAUAAAGCAAACCAAAAAAAACUAAGUGAGAUCGGAUCUCCUUUCUUAAGUUGUCCUCAGCCUAAAACCUUGUUGUUUAGGUCAGUGGUUCUCAAUCCAGGGUGAUUUUGCCCCCCAGAGGACAUUUGACAGUUUCCUGGGGAAAUAUUCAAAUACUGCUACUGGGAGGGAUGGGGGAUGCUAUGGAAUCUAAUAAGUAGAAGCCAGUGAUGCUGCUAAACAUCCUAUAAAAUACCAUUCAGCCCCCAACAAUUGGAUUAUCAGAUCCAAAUGUCAAUAGUGUCCAAGUUGAGAAAUCUGCAAACCCACUGGGCUCUUCCUUAAACAAAGAGCACAUUCACCAUGUGUGAAUUAAACAAAGCAAGCUUUAAAGCCACUUUCUGCCCUCCUUCUACCAGGUAGGUUUCGAAUGUUGAAGGGUCCCUCCCUAGCUCAGGGGAGAAUAAAUGUUAUUAUCAUUUAUAACAUUUAUUCUUGUUAUACCCCCCGGUCUCUCAGGUGGGGUAUGGUGGUGGCACUGUUCAGCAGAAGGUCAGCAAUUCUUUCAUCAGCCCAGGCCAGAGGCAUAACCUGUUAAAUAAGUCUGCCCCAGAGAGAGGAUGUGAGACUUCUCCUCUUUGUUGGGAGCAGCCAAGCUUCUGUAUUCAAGGCCGGUUAAGUGCAAAUCCUUUCAAACUGUAUUACUGAAAGAUAAUGACAGUCUUAUAAUUUAAACAUAAUAUUUGCACCUAAAUUGAAACUACCAUCAAAAUUUUGCAUUGUUCUGCUUCUGUGUAAGUACUAACUGCAAAGUCUGAAAAAAAGAAGUAACCUUACAAUCAUGCUGUUCAGUGUAGCUACUAGCCACAUGCUGCUGUUUAAAUUAGUUGACAUUAAAUAAAAUUUAAAAUUUUAUUUUUAUUUUUCAGUGGCACUAGUCACAUUGUAAGUGUCCACUAGCCAUGUGACUACUGGCUACUGAAUUGGACGGUGUGGGUACAGGACAUUUCCAUCAUCACAGGAAGUUCUGUUGGACAACAUUGUCCUAGAAGGCUCCAUUUCGAAGGAUCCUUAUAAAUAUGCACAGUUAUUUCUAAAAAAAGGCUUGUUUCCUAGCAGCUGAGGCACUGGGGCAAUGCUUUGCAUUCUGUCAUUACGAUUGUCUGUUAGAAAGGCACAGACAUGUUCUGCUGGGGGGACCAUCUCUCUUCUGACAUGGAAUUUUUGUGAAGGGUUUAUGUAAUGGAUGUGGGAUAAUGUGUCAGAUGAUUGAAACCAUGAUUUUCCAGAAGAUAUAACAAUGUAAAAUUCACAUAGGUGACUCCUGUAAGACAUUUCUGAUCUAAGUCAAGUGUGUAUUGUUAAAUAUUAAUUCCAUUAGAGUAUGUCAGCAGGGAAUUAAGAUAUGUGACCCAAAUGUAUUUCUUUUUAGUAGCUGAGUGUAAUAGAGAAGUAGUGCUCAGUGGAUCUUAACUGAAGAAGAGGUGGGGUAAAGGGGGGAGGGGAGGUUCAGAAUAUUUGGAAAAGAUUCUCCAUGUUAUUUUAAUGUACCUAAUCCAGGUUAAGUAUAGUUUAGAGAUAUGGAAAGGAUAAUUGAUUUACCUUUUACUGCUGUAUGAUUGGGGGAGGGGGAAAGGGUGUGGCUUUUAAAAGUCCCUCCCUUUAGUGGGGCCUAGACAUCCACCCCAUUCUCUCUUGCUAUCUUUCCUUCCAGUGACCCACCUGUCUACCCCUCCCUACCUGGUUAUUUAGGAUGAUCAACUGGCUUUAGAACAAUGGUUUUAGGCAGUUUUUUCCGGUAUCAAGAGUCUCCAGCAAACUUUUGCAAGCUGUAUAUCACAAUCUAUUCUUGGCUGCAUUUUUUUGGUCAGUGCCUGAAGUGUUGAUAUGUGUGCUUACUGAUCAAAGCACGUGUCUCAUGCACAGAGGAUGCAUUAGCCAGAGAGGACACUCAGAAGAAAUUCAGGAAUCCAUUUAGUGUUGUUGCUCAGGGUGAAAGGCACCCCACUUCCACAGAGAGGUGGUCUAUGAGUGUGUGAGAAGGGCUAAAACCGUUCUCCUAAAGGACCUGUUCAAGCCAGACCCUAUGUAAUAUAAUGUGUUGGUGUAACAUGAGAAAAAAUAUAUAUUUGGUCUUUGUCCCAGUUUCUGGCACAGAGCUCCUAAAACCUUUGGAAAUUCCUGAGUGAUAAAGUGUCUUUUGCAUGCUAAUGAGGUGACUAGAUAGGGCAGUGCUCAGAUAGCUUCAGGAUAAGGGUUGGUCACCAGAGGUGCCAACCACCUGAUUAGAGGGUUAGAAUUGUCAGCUCUGCACUGCCUUCUUCCCCACUCCAGACAGGGGAGAGGGGCUGGAGAUUGAGUUCAAUCACCAAUGGCCAAUGAUUUAGUAAAUUGUGUCUACGUGGUAACGAUGGUUCCGUAAAAACUCUGAAGCAAUAAGGCUAAGGGAGCCUCCUGGUUGGUGAGUACAUUGACAUAAUGGGAGGGCGCUUACCCAGAAAGGGCAUGGAAGAGCUGUGUCCCCUCCCUGCCCCAAUACCUUGCCCUAUGCAUCACUUCCAUUUGGAUGUUCCUGAAUUGUAUCCUUUAUGAUAAAAGUAUAAUUGAAAGUAGAGAGCUUUUCUGAGUUCUGUCAGUCAUUCUAGCAAACUAUUGAACCUGGGGAGAGGUUGUAGAAACCCCCAAAUUUGUGGUAGACUGGGCAGAAGUGCAGGUAGCCUAGAGACAUCAUGUACAGCUGGCAUCUAAAGUGAGGGCUUCUUAUGGAACCGAACCCUUACUGUGUGGGGUCUAGACUAACUCUGAGUAGCUAGUGUCUGAAUCAGAUUGAAUUGUUGCCACCCAGUUGGCUUCAGAGUGAGGCAGGAAAAUGGGGUCUGGUGGCAGGAAACAUAAGGCCAAUUCACACUUUAGCUAUGCCAGGAAAUACCCUCUCCAUAGGGUGUACGCUGAGUAAAUGACUUUGUCACUUUACUUCAUCUCUCCAUUUAUGUAGGGCAUACACCAAGUAACCAAUGGAAUCUUCUGGAGGGUAUUUAAACUCCCAAAAAUUCUGCAACAGGGCCUUUGAGCUCCUAUGCUCAGGCCAGCUCCCACACUGUGGAGUGUACUUUCAUUUUUAAUAAAUUACUUCAUUCCUUCCUUGCUUUAUGCAUUUUGACCAGUGCUUUGUUCAAGAUGCCUAGAACGUGGACACCCUCCACUGGAGGAUGAAUCACAUAAUUUGUUGGUAUUGGAAUGACAUAGCUGGGAUUAAAAUGGUGAACAGGAGUAGACAUCUUUCUACUCUCAAAAUUUACAAACAGUAUGCCAAUGAGUUUGUUGGGUUUAUUUGGCACUGUGCUGUAUAUUGUCCUGUCACGCCCUCCAAAUCUACUCCCCCUGGUCUUUAGAGGCUGACCCUCAUAGAACACAGUAAUGGACAUUCUUCUUUCUGUCUAUAGUUCGGUUUGAUCAAUGGGGUGUCCUGGGAGGAAAUUGAAGGGAGUCAGGUAAGUGAACUCAGGGCAUUGAUUCACCUCACUCACUCCUUGGAAGCCCACCUGGGGCGAUAUCUCCCUUCUAGGCAGUCCUCUCAACAUGAACUUCUCCUUCCCAGUCUGGCAACUCCUCCUUGUCUCCUUAUGCAUAAGGGUGGUGUAAGCACUUCAGCGUCUAAUCUUUAGUUUUUGCCUGCAAACCCUUGUGGUUCUAUUACAUCCUGUAUACACCCUUGUAAAAAGUUUCUUAUUAAAUAAACCUUCUUUGAAUUAUCCUAAGAUGAGUGUUCUGUCUCGCUGAGAUCCUGACUGAUACAAGCAUUAUCCAUUUAAAUGUUGGAUGUAUGCUUGCAAAGUAUGUUGAGUUUUGUUUUAGUAUAUUUGAUGCUAAGCCAGCUGUUCAGCUACUUAAGAAGGUGACCCUGGUUUGUAAUGAUAAAAUUGUAUUAUGGAGUAGGAUGUUUAUCUUCCUGUUUCCUUUGGCAGGAAAGUAUAUAUUCAAUAAGGUACAGAGAAGGGGAGCUAGAACAUUAGUUCUGUUUUAUAGCAUUUAGAAUUAUAAUUUUUGUUGCCAAAAUGUUCCUCUUACCCAUUAUGAUUCUGACAUUAAUACCAUAUUCUAGGCUUUGAAGAUGCAUUAAUAGUUUGGGAUUUUACCACGAUGAUACAUGCUGAUGAGAGGUUGAUAAAUGUUGCAAAAAGUCUUUGUUAUUAACUGUUUUAUUGGUGAGAUGGAACAGGAUAGUAACACUCAGAAGUUUAACCGUUUUGCCUGAAACAUGUUUCCUUUCAUGAAAAACAUUUGAGUGAGAGGCAGCCCAGAAAUGAGUUGUGAAGAGAGCACAAAAUGCAUGCUUUUAUUGUUUGCUUGACAGAGGUGGAGAACCACAUCAUGAAAUUUACAUUUGUUAUUGAUCUUUUUGCCUGAACCCACCCUAGCACCUCCAUUAGCAUCUAUUAGAAGUCAGUUUUUCCAGAUGAUGAAUUUCUUUUAAAAAGAAAUGAACUGUGAGUUUGUAGCCUUUCACAGGAGACUAUGAGCCUCCUUUCCUUCUUAUUUUGCUUACUAAAGUCAUGACUGAAAUAUAAAUUUGGGUGGCUAGAUGGGAUAAUCAAAGCUGGUUUCAACCCGUCUAUAAUCCGCUGAUCUGUACAUUAGACGGAAAGCUUUUCUCAGAAGUUGGUACUCGUGUACAUCUCAAGAGAAUUGGAGAGAGGCUGCCUGCAUAGUUGAUCACUAACCUUUAUAGAUAAAAGCAAUUUCAAAGACCAUCUACCCGCUAAUGCUAUAGAUGAGGAGACUGAGACCCUGAGAUAUUAAAAGACUUACCCAGGAACACAGCUGUAUUAGUUUGUCAGGGUUGCCAUAACAAAGUAUCACAAACUGGGUGACUUAAGCAACAGAACUUGACUGUUUUACAGUUCUGGAGACGGAGCAUCCACAGGUCAAGGGGUUGGCACAGGGGUUCCUUCUGAGGGCUGUGAGGAAAGGGUGUGUUCCAGGCAUCUCUCUUUGGCUUGUAGAUGGCCAUCUUCUCUCUGUGUCUCUUCACAUUAUCCUCCCUCUUUGCAUGUUUGUAUUCAAAUUUCCUCUUCUUAGAAGGACACCAGUCAUACUGGAUUAGGGUUUACUCUAAUAACCUUAUUUUAACUUGAUUGCCCCCGUAAAGACCCUCUCUUUCAAAGAUCACAUUCUGAGUACUGAGGGUUAGGACUUCAACAUAUAAAUUUUAUGGUGGACGCAGUCCAACCCCUAAGCACAUCAACUGUCUGGAAACUGACUAGAAUCUUGGUCCUCUGAGGCUCUUGUUCCUUUUUUCCUGUUAAAUGACUGUGCCUUUUAAUAUUCUUGUUCCCGUUACUGUAGAGACCAUUCCCUCUUUCACAGACCUAAGAGACAAGCGUGUGGUUAAAACAUCAACUUUUCUCAGACACAUCAAACGAUUCCAUUUAGGGGAAUAUAAGGCCAAAGUAAAUUUAGAGAAGUUAUGAUCCUUGUUACUAUAACCUGAACAUACUCAUUCUGGGGAUGAAGAUAAACAGUGAAUUUUUUUUAUUAUCACAUGGCUAUUAAUGUUGAACCUUUAGAGUUAGACGUGAAAUUCUCUCAGACUUAUUUAAUGAAUACAGUUUAUAUUAUUAAAUUGUGAUGAUAAAUGAGUUUGCUCAGUUAUUCUCUUCUUUGACUUGACUUUCUCUACCCCUGAAAAACAGUCUUCCAGGGAAAGGAGCUUUCCUUUCUGGAGGUCCUAUGGAUGAAGCUUUGGCAGGACCGUUGUCAACCCAGGCAUUUAAUUCUCCUGAAAUUAUGUUGUCAUUCAGGGAUACUUGAAGCAUAUAAAGUUUAGGGGGCAAUGGAAUCAGUGCCAGACAUUUAGGGAUAUGUUUGCAUACAGGUAGGGAGGCUAUUUUUAUGUUGUACCAAGUGGUCUUUUUGGGAAGGUGAAUCUAGACAAGAUAAAUAAGUUUUUAAUUCAUGUCAGGUGACUGAGUUCAAUGUAGCCUGUCACCCUCACAUCAACCAGAACUUCGUGGAUUAAAGGUUGGAACAGAAGGAAAAUAAUAGGGUAUUAAACUCUCCAGUAAUGACUUCAUUCUUGCCAUUCUCACAUGGCCUAAAAUGCUUAUUUUCAAGGAGGGGAACCUAAUGCUGAGAGAAAUAACAUGAUUAGUCCAAGAAAACAGUAUACUCUCGCAAUGUGCCUCUACCCCGCAUAGCAGCUGUAAUGCAGGACUCACGCGCUGUGAGCUAAGUGGCAGUUCUAACUCUCUAGCAAUACUUACUAGGGUAUACCUAAGUUUGGGCCUUCCCUACUAAACCAAGUCACAGACUAUGUCUCUUGGUGCUUAGAGGUAGUAGGUUUUAGGAUGUACACCUGCACUCCUCCUCACCAGCAGUGUCUCCCAAAGCCCAUCCCUUAGAUGAUCAGCCUUUCAUAUAUGUCAAGAAAAAAACUUGAUUAAGUGAUCAAACACAUUUGGAAAAUGCCACGUACUGCACCCCUUUCUUAGAUACUCAUCACACAUAUCAGAGUAUUGACAGCUUUGUAAUGUCUGGCAAUGAAAAAACCAUUUAACUUUCUUUAACCAGGUGUUUCCAAAAGUUAUCUGAUCACAGAACCAUUUGUUCAUGUAACACCCGUAAGUUGCAAGCAACACAUUUUGAGAAACCCUGUCUAAAUUUUGCAGAAGUUGGGAAAAGAUAUACAUUAACAAAGAAUUUAGAUCAGGUUUAGAGAUGACAGAGCAAGAGAUCUGUGGAGAGGUCCAUAUAGAACAGGUGAGUGGUAAUCCUUAUCAUCUGCCCCCAAACAUUCCUUGUGGCUUUUAACAGGAAGGGAAUCCUAAGCUGGGCUGGGCAGGCUUUUCCCAUUAUAGUCUUUCCUCAUUGUGGGGGUGUGGAUGACUGUGUGAAUGUAUUUGUGUUUGAUCUAGAUAGUCAGGUGCUUUAGGAGAGAAAAAGAGCACUGGGCUAACGAUCAGAAGGUCUGGUGUGUUUUUGGCCUUUAUCAUGAACUUGUGAUGUGACGUCUCAGCAGUCCCAGUGCUCCACUAGUUAGUGUGGAUGCUGUUGUGCCACCUCCAUCCGUCCGCACCCCACAGGCCUUUAGUGUCCAAAGGCCUCUCUGUUCACUUGGGACCUCAGCAAAUGCUGUCUGAAGGUGAAAAGGAAAAGGAGGAUUUGGGGAUUUUGUCAGGCUGAUGACAUAAUGUCUGCAGUGUUCCGAUCACCUCAGAAGGAGCAGAGGGUUUGCUGCAAAGGGCCCUGCUGUUCCUGAGGGAGGUGUGAAUGACUGUCUGACACCCCGUAAAACCAUGCAGCAUGGUCUGAUAGAGCCACUCAGAAUGUUUCUAGUUAGAUGCUGCUAUAACAAAGACCCUUUGUUUUAAAACAAAAUAAACCACCUUGAACUUGGUUCAGGAAAAGAAUACACUUUUAGGGUAAGACACUUAAGAUAAAAUUUAAAGAAUUUAAACAACCACAUCUCAGGAAGGUUCAAAAGCCUGACAUUGCAGGCUGCCGUUUUCUCUGUGUCUGUGUCUCAGCUGUAAUUCUUGGCAAAGAGAAUUGUAUAGCCCCAAUUACUGGUCAAAUGCCCACUCUAGUUCAUUUAGCUGUAGCAUAGCUAACAGCCGUGUCUCUCUCAUUUUUCCUGUUAGAAUCCCAAUUUGUUCAGGAGAGUGUGACAAUAGCUUGAUAUCAGGGAAGACAGAUCCCACUCCAGUCCCAGAGGAUGAAUUUUGAUCAUCUAAACCGGUCAUAGUAAUCCCAUUUCUCUUUAUCAGUAAUUGGCUGAGGGUGGCAUUGUGACCUAGUUCUAAUGUAGGAGAUAUAAAUAGAAGUUAGUUGGAUAUGAUUGUGGGAAAGCUUUUGUCUUUCUUAUUAAAAGGAACAACAGAUUUACUGGGCAUGGCUUUUUCUCCUUCUCUGGGAUUCAGGUGUGAUGCCUGGUGAUUCAGCAGCCGUCUUGUAAUCAUGAUGUGACAGUAGGAGAGGAAAGCUGUGUGCAAGAACAGAAAGCACAAAGGAGAAAGAGCCAAGGUCCCUGUCAGUGCAGUGAACUGCUGCACUGAUACUGGACAGCAUACCUCCUGAUUUGUUCUUAUUUGAGAAAAAUGAUAACCGAUUUGUUGACAUCACAGCGUACUUUAAUAGGUUGUUGUUAUUGUUGUCUUUACCUGCAACCAAAAACAUUCCUAAGUGAGAAAAUUAUAUAGUAAAAACAUGGGUGCCAGGAGCCAAUUCCUAUGGCUCAGAGGAUGAUUCUCAGAUCUUUAAGGGAACAGAAGAAGAGGAGAUGGCACCUACCAUGGUUAGCUAUUCAAAAGUAUCUACCAAAGCCACCCCAAAGUCUUGAAAUCUCACACUGCUUUAGAGCAUAGAGAGAGAAACCCUGUUCUUUCCACUGCACACCUGUCUUAGAUACAAUUAACUAACUCAUUCUACUGAUUUUUACUACUCCCCAUUAUGUGCUUGACAUUUUUCUAGGUGCUGAGGAUUGAUUGGUGAAGACAGAGAGAAUCUUGGCUCUGACUGAGUUCACAUUCUAAAAGAGAAAAUAGAAAAUAACCAUGAAAAACAAAUGAAUGGGAUCACUUCAGAUAUCGGAAAGGUCUGUAAGUAAUAGAAAACAGCAUGUUAUAGAGGAUUGGGGAGGCUGUGUCCAUGGAAGGCCUAGGAAAGUGAUAUUUCAAUUGAAACUUGAGUUGCAGAAGGCAGCCAGCUGUGCAAGGCUGAGGACCAAGCGUUUUGGGAGGGAAUUGUGAAGCCAGGCAUGAGCAUGUCUUGCUGAAGACCCAGAAUGAACUGUAGUGGUGCCCACUGCACAGGGCCUGGGGAAGCUACCCAUGCUCAUCUCCUGGUAACGUGCCAGCAACUCAGCCCACUGGCAUCAUGAUGAAUCUCGAUGCUGCUGACUGGGCUUCUUGUUGCAUAGGUGAACUGUCCCAUCAUCUGCUUGAGGCUGGCAGAGCUCAGGGGGUCAGACCACUGGGAGUGAUCUAUGUAGUGGAAUCUCUGACCAGAGUGACUGAUUCCCUCAUGUUCUUUCCUUUUGAGAAUGGAUUCAUUAUUCCAAGCUGCAGCUCCUAUGCUCUCCAGAGGACUAGCUUCCCUUGGAAUGCGGUCAGCCCUGCUCUGGAGGGACUGGGAGGGCAUUCAGCUAGCACACAGCUGCUACAGGACCACGCUCCAGUUACCCCUUCAAGUUAUGACUGCCCCUGUUGACAUUGUCUAGUGCUUGAGAGUCCCCUCUGUAGAGACCUUGCAGAGAGUCAGGAAGCCUGCUAGGGCCCUGUGAUGGUCAUACCUGACAUCAGUUUCAAGCGAUACUUAUCAGUGAAGCAGUCAUAUGAGAUCACAAGGCUAGAACUAGCUCCUUCCAAGCUCACAAUGUCCUGCAUUCCUCAUGGGUCUGGCCUAACCCAGAACAAAAGUGUCAGCAUGCUACCACCCCCUUCUAACAAGUUGCCUACGAAAUGGAAUAUCCACCCAGCUCUGGUAGACAGUCCAGUGUUCUUUUUCUCUAACACUUGAACUUGCCGGCCAUUGGAAUCACUGUAAUUAUAUUAGAUGUUAGAUUUCCUGUGUGAGUGGUGGGAUGUGAGGAAUGUGAUUGCUCACCUUAGAAGAGUAAAGUUGCCUAGAAGUGCCCGACCUGCCAUUUAGAAACCCUGGGUUUGGUUUUCCUACACCUGGAACACAAAACUACAAAAUACCAAAGUUGGAGGCAAACUUGGUAAUUAAUAUCCGUCCUCUUACAGAUGGAAAAAAAAAAGAAGCAUGACCUGACCAAGGUUAAUAAUAAUACUACAAAGGAAGGCUCUUUGGGAUUCCCAUGUCCCUGUAAUUGGUGUUAGAAUUUGGUGGUAAUGUGCUCUUUGACUUACAGAACAAAGAAAAAAAAAAACCUUGCAUGUCAACGAUGUGUGCCAUCAAAGUUCUCCAUGCCUCUGCAUGCCUCUGUGUGGUUUGGUUCUCACCAUCCAGUGUAGUGGGCAUUAUUUUUCUCAUUUUACACAUAAGGAAAACGAGACCCAGAAAGGUUAAGUCCAUUCAGUUAGUAAGUGGCAAUCCUGAACUCAAGUUUCAAUCUUCUGCCUCUUAUUCAAUAGCAUUUCCAAGUCCUUCUCCACUUUGAGAGCACAGCAGGAAAUUAGCUAUAACUUAGGGCAAGAUAUAUAGCCCUGAAAAGUCUCUGCUUUAUUCGGGAAGCAGAUAUUGUGGAUUGCUAGAAAAUCUAAAGAAAGGAUUCUGAUUUUUAGUGACAGUACCCUCACCUUCAUUGGCAUGUAAACACUUCCCUCUUGGAACCACUGUAGCUGGAGCAGGGGCCUCACGGCUGCUAACAUAACGGUUCUGUCAUCUCAGCAGCUACUCCUCCUUGUCUUAAAUACCAACUCCCAGGCACGGUGUGGCUCUGAAAAUCUCAAGCUGUUAGAAUCCAGUGGCUACUCCAAUUCUGAUUCUGUCGCUUUAGAUGACCUGAGCUACAUUAUUUAAACUUCCUAUGUCUCAGUUUUUCCAUCUAUAAAAGGGGCUAGUUAUAGUACCUUCCUGAGAAGGUGAAGACUAAAUGAGGUUAAAAAAAUUAAAAAAAACUUAGGAGAGUAAAGUGUUCAAUAAAUAUUAGUUGUUGCUGCUGCUUUUGCUCUUGAAACAAGGAAUUCUGUCACAGAGCUGAGUUUUCACCAGAAGUACAAAAGGAAUAUGUUCAUAGUUCAUGGACACAGUGGGCAUGCCAGGGUGAGAGGUGUCCAAAAGAUAGAAUCACAUACAGUUUAUUUCUUAACCCUGGGGAAUGAUUGCCCUGGACCUUAUACUACAAGGCUUGUCUUCAUUUUCUGCCAGUAUCACCCCUCUGACCCCACCCCUGUCAACAAAGCAGAAGGCUUUAACUCACCCACUUGAAAAGCUAAAGCUGACCUGGAUGUUAUGAUUAUGUAUUUAUUUAGUCUGAAAGAAGGAACAGAAAUAAUAGUCUUUUAUAUAACUCAAAAAGUGUAAAGGAGCCAAUGAUAAAAACCAUUGCCCUGAACUUUUCCAAAGCCCCAUAAAUCUCUCUUGUUAUGAUUCUCCAGUUGUUGCCAAGGUAUCAUUUGUCUUGUUUUUGUCCUCAGAUAGACUAAAACAAACCUUAACGAACUUCCUCCUGUUGGUUUGUGUAUCUGUGAUCAAAGGCUAUAAAAAUGCUGCUAUUUCCAGUUACUCCCAUCAUCUAAAACCCACCUGAUGCUUGUGUGGUUUCUCAGCAAUAUUCUGAUUUUAAUUUGAUGGCUUUUUGUGUUAGUCUGUUUCCCUUUCAAAGCUGUUUUUUCCUCCCUUCCCUCCCCUCUGUGUUUCUUUCUCUCUCUGCUGAUAUUUUUGGCAUGUUUAGAUCAUCUUUCCACUGACCUUUCAGUGGCUUAGCAUUUUGUUGCAAUGCAAAGUGAAGUUGGGAAACAGAGCCAAGUAACAAACUGUGAAGUAACAGCUCAGCCUUCACAAAGCAAAUGUGCUUUGUGCUCUUUCUUGCCAGAGCAGAUGUGGCCUCGGUGGACUGUGGGGAGCCUCAUCUCUCAGGUAAAAAUAAAUUACCAAGAUGAGGCCCAAAUGAUGCAAAUCCUUUCAUUUGCAAACAGAUCAUGAACUGAGACUCAUGCGGAAGGAAGACCAGACUGAGAAUCAGUUAGGAUCCCACCCUCAGCUUAGACCAGAAUACUCUGCCAAUCAGCUCUCUGGCCGCAGAAAGAGAAAAGAGAUUUCUAACAUUUCCUGGGAUUUCAAAAAAAAAAAAAGGAAAAGAAAGAAUUCAACCAAAUACCCAUUUGUUAGCCCAGCAUUGUAAGUCAGCAGCCCUAAAGAAUGAUUGGAGAAUCAACCAGUACCAAUACUGCCAGGCUUCAUCUCCUUCGUAUCCAGCUGUACCCAGUAGAAUUUCUUGGAGCCCACAAAAUGUUAAUUGAAAAGAUAAGUCAGCUUUGGAAAACAUCUAUAUUUUAAGCAGAGGUGGAAUUUGGGGAAGAGUCAUGUAGACAUCUGUAAUUCUAUACAUCAUGAUUAUUUUCAGUGACCUGAAACCUGAAGCAGAUUCUAAGGGUUAAACAAUGUCCAUAGUUUUACUCUUUAGGAUGGUGUUGGUCCCCUACCCAAUCAUUGUCACACUGCUUGGCUCUUAUAGGCCUAAGUGCAUGAGUUGCUUAUUAUUUGUCUGGGUAGUUGGUUAAUUUUGGAGGCAACCAUCUUGGAGGUACGAUUUUCUUCCUUUGUAGAUGACAAAGUGUGGAUUGCUAUCUUUUCAUGUUUCAUUUUACAUACUUUGUCCUCUAUCUCCCACCAACCCUCUCACCAUUUCUGUUUAAAGAUAUUAUUCCUUAUAUAUGGAGAUUCUUCCAAAAAGAUUGACAUAUGCCCGUGUGUGCUCAUGUGCACAGACAUACACACAUAUACUCACAGUACAUUUAUGCUUCCAAAUAUAUUCUUUUAUUUUCUUGACUCAAUUAUUCCAUUUAUCAACUCAGUUAUUCCAGGAAUCCUGGAAAAACGGAGGGGUGAGGGAGAAAGGAUGAUUGUGGUUAUAAGGUUUAAAUGUAUUAUAGCAUUAUCAGUUGACUAUUGAGGAAUUGUGCUGUCAGUGAAUUACAUGUUUCAGCUAUGUCAUUGGCUCUGGAAACUCAGACAGAGAGUAGUUAUCCAGAUAAAGAAAUGUCUGAAAACAAACAAGAAAUAGGAGUUGCAUUUUGGAAGUAUUCUCAUUCAUAAAACUAAGAGGUCACAUUCAUUGCAAGAGGGCAUCCACUGGAAUGCUGGCUGAACUUAUGAUUAGAGCAUUCAUUCAUUUAUUUAACAGAUACUUAUUUAGAGUUUUUUAUGUACUGGGCACUGUCCUAGAUUUUAGAGAUAUGUUAAUAAGCAAAGGCAAGCAUGGUUCUUGCUGGUAAAUGUUUAACAACUGGCUUUACAAAAACAAAAACUCUGAUUUUUAGUAUUUGUUCAUUUCUGUGAUGUAAAUGCCCCCACUACAGCCAAUUUCAAGCUACCAAUGUUCUACAAUGUAGGAAGAUAUGGAUACAUUAAGCAAUGUGAGCCAGCAUGAGCUGGCUUCAGCACACUUCGGGUCCUUGCUGUCCAAAAGUUUACAGUAAAAUUGGGAAGACAUACAUUUAAAAUAUUACUUUAAUAAAAGUCAACUUCAAACUAUGACAGGGCUGUCAAGAAGGGGAAUGUGGCAUUGAUAGCCUGCAAUAAAUGAAUAUAAACUAUUUUGUGAAAUUAUUGGAAGUAUUCACUGGGAAACUGAUAGUUAAGCUGAGAGCUGAAGAUGCAAAAGAUUACUUGAGGAAAGGAGGAGCAUUUCAGAUAGAAGUUACAGCUCAUGCAAACGCUCUGUGGUGGGAAAAAACUUGGUGUAUUUGAAGAAAACAAAAGAAGGCUUUGUGACUAAACCGUGAGAGGAAAAGGGGCAUGUGCUGAGUUGGAAGUGGUAGGCAUGAACCAUACUUGACUUAUAAGCUUUGAGAAAAAUGUGGAUUUUUAUCCUCAAAGCAGAGGUUAUCUAUUGAAGAGUUUUAAGCCUGGAAUUAAAAUGAUGAAAUUGCGUUUUGAAAAUAUCACUCUAGCUACAGCACAGAGGAAAGAUUGGAAUUGACCUCGAUGGAGAGCUGGGAGGCGAUGAGUAGUCUGUUACAGCAGUCUAUGUAAGAGAUGCUUGUGAACUGGCCUAGGGUCUGGCAAUAAAAAUGGAGAGAAGGGGAAAGAUUUCAGAGAUAUUUAUGACUCUAAAUUAAGAUGAGUUAAUAAGGGUUAGUGUCCAAUAAUAUGUUGCCAAGUCUUUCUGAGCUUGCACAGCUGGCUGGGUAGUGAUGCCAGAAAGUUUGGGAACACCAUUGUGUGUGUAUGCAUAUGUGCACAUGCAGGGGAAAAUCCGAAGUUUUGGGCAUAUGAGUUUGAAUAAUCUUUGAGGCAUCUAAGUGGAUGUGUCAAACAUGUUAGAUAUAUAGUGCUAGAACUCAGAGUAGAGGUCUGGCCUAGAGUCUAUAUUUUGGAGUAAUUUUCAUCUGAAAGAAAAUUAAAGAAUCCUGUGUCUUUAACCCUGCUCCUUGGGCAGCAGACAUCUUUUCAGCACAUAUCAGAUGGCUUAAACUUUCUUUUCUGGGAUUCUUUUUCAUUUGUAUAAGACAUAGUAAUGCAUCUUGGCAACUCAAUAAGAUUUGGGGAAUACUGAAUUUAUUUUCUGAGCUAUUUUUCUUUAAAGAUUUGUAUUCACUGAAUAGGCAGUGUAUUAACUAGAGUAGUGCAUGCAAACUGUUUAGCAUAGUACCUAGCCUGUAGUAAGAACUCAGAAAAUGGCAAUUGUCAUUAGCAUCUUCUUCUUCUUUUCUUGAUAUCUGGAUUACAAUUACUUAAUUUUCAUUAUCAAUACGGUUGCUUUAUCAAUGUAUCAAAAAGAAACUCAUGAUAUUUAGGGGAAAAUGUCUAAGAUACAUACUUGAGGAUGUGUCGUGCGUGUGUGUGUGUGUGUGUGCGUGUGUGUGUGUAGAGAAGGCUUGGAAAGGAUGCAUACUAAAUUUGAUGAAAUUGCCUCUGAAAGACGUAGAAUUGAAGGGGAGUUAGGCAAUAAACAGGGCUUUUUUUUAGCUAAACAUUUAUAAAAUUUGAAUUUUUGUGAGUAUGCAUUCCUUGUAUAAUUUUUUUGCAAAUGAAUUCACAUUGCACAAGUUGAAUAAACAUAGCUCUCACAUGAUGCUGGUCCAGGAGUGACCAAAUGCAUAGUGGAUACAAGGCAGUUCUGAGAGGCAGGCACUGCCAUGUGUGAAUGAUUGCAGAUAGAAUCACUGUGAAAUGAUUGUUGAAUUGUUUCCUGGUAAAGAGUGACUUAAAUGGCUGACAGAAGAUAAAACAGAAUCCAGACGCUUGAUAUGUAUCUCGGUUGCUAUGUAACAAGCCACCCAAUACAGUAAUUUGAAACAAUAAUAUUUCUUUUGCUCACAGGUUUGCAGUUUGCCUAGGGGCACAGUGGGGACAUUUUGUCUCUGCUCUAUUUGACAGCAGAUGAAGAUGAAAUGACCAGAAAGCUAAAGGAUGACAUGACUAUGUAUUUAGAAGACCCCAUCAUCUCAG